UACAGAGGUCCCAAGCGUUGUUCGGAUUCAUUGGGCGUAAAGGGUGCGUAGGUGGCGCCGUAAGUCAGGUGUGAAAUUCGGAGCUUAACUCCGAAACUGCAUUUGAUACUGCGGUGCGUUGAGGACUUGGAGAGGAGACUGGAAUUUACGGUGUAGCAGUGAAAUGCGUAGAGAUCGUAAGGAAGACCAGUGGCGAAGGCGGGUCUCUGGACAGUUCCUGACACUGGAGGCACGAAGGCCAGGGGAGCAAACGGG
rnacentral:rRNA from 1 species